AUAACGACUCUCGGCAACGGAUAUCUCGGCUCUCGCAUCGAUGAAGAACGUAGCGAACUGCGAUACUUGGUGUGAAUUGCAGAAUCCCGUGAACCAUCGAGUCUUUGAACGCAAGUUGCGCCCGAAACCUUUGGUCGAGGGCACGUUUGCCUGGGUGUCACACA
rnacentral:rRNA from 1 species